rnacentral:rRNA from 1 species
UGGGGAAUCUUGGACAAUGGGGGCAACCCUGAUCCAGCCAUGCCGCGUGAGUGAUGAAGGCCUUAGGGUCGUAAAGCUCUUUCGCCUGUGAAGAUAAUGACGGUAGCAGGUAAAGAAACCCCGGCUAACUCCGUGCCAGCAGCCGCGGUAAUACGGAGGGGGUUAGCGUUGUUCGGAAUUACUGGGCGUAAAGCGCACGUAGGCGGACCAGAAAGUUGGGGGUGAAAUCCCGGGGGCUCAACCCCGGAACUGCCUCCAAAACUAUUGGUCUAGAGUUCGAGAGAGGUGAGUGGAAUUCCAAGUGUAGAGGUGAAAUUCGUAGAUAUUUGGAGGAACACCAGUGGCGAAGGCGGCUCACUGGCUCGAUACUGACGCUGAGGUGCGAAAGUGUGGGGGAGCAAACAGGAUUAGAUACCCUGGUAGUCCACACCGUAAAACGAUGAAUGCCAGUCGUCGGGGUAGCAUGCUAUUCGGUGACACACCUAACGGAUUAAGCAUUCC